CAUGCUGAAAACACGUGGAUUUGAGGGUAACCCUGUUUGCAGAUGGAAAAAGUCAGAAAAUGCCGUGUGGGUACCCUGUUUUUUGGACUCGGCCAAUGAGAGAGAAGAUGUGCUACUUUACUUCCCUUGACAACAGGUGCCCCUACAGCCUUACACAGUUCUACAGUGGAAUUGCCACAUCCCUUAUUUAAAACCACGACAAGCGAAAGAAUGUCUCUGGCACGGUUUACCACACUCACCUCGAUAGCACGAUAUGAUGGCAUCAACAGCAUAGGACAGGGCAUUGGUAAGUUUUUGCAUAUCCCCACCAAAAUACUUGUGAGCUUUUUCAUAUUCUGAUCGACAUCUGGUUUUUAGGUCCUGGGCGAA